CCUCGCCCGCGUGGCCACCUGCGCCACCGCUCGCGCGCUCACCCGCGCGUCCGGCCCCGCUCCCUCGACCCGCCGGCCGGCGGCGCUCACGACGGCGACCGCCUUGUCCGCCGACGGCGCCCCGGCCACGCCCGCCUUGUCCCUCGCGGCCGCCCGCCGGAGUCGCCCCCGGCCGCAGCGCCCAUGACAGCACGCCCCCGCCCGCCAGUGGCAGCCCGGCUCCCUCGAUGAGCAGGCCGGCGGCGUCUCCAGAAGCCCCCACCACGCCGCUCUUUGUUGGUCGCGCGAACACCGCGAGCUGUAAUCCGAUCACCACUGCUAGUGCUAAGGAGGCGCCAGCCGACUAGUUGCCGGGCUCUAAGACCGCACCACACAUUGGAGUGCAUCUUCUCCAACUUCAAGAAAUGCCACGGAGCCCUCAUCUGUGCCCUCACAAAAGGUAGUGAGCGAGAAUCGGUCAUCCUCCUAUCCUAUCACCAAUGUCCAUAUGUCUCGUUUAUAUUCUUCUAGCUAGCUCAUCCGAUCACUGUGCAACGUCAUGGAUCUGGUUUGCAAUCUUAUAUGAGUAUGGCCUAAUAUUAAGGAUUGGACGCCCAUCAUGAGUAUGGCCUGAUAUUUCCUUUGUCAAUCGACUAUCCGAUUGGUUGAUAGCACAUCAGCCAACGAUAUGUUUUUCAAAGA